rnacentral:misc_RNA from 1 species
AACGAGGCCGACCUGCGGCUGAGUUACCUGCGGAAGGAUCAUUAUCGUGGAGCUACGGCUCCAUUGAGGGAGAACCCUUGCCUUUUCGAGCACCUGUUUGUUUCCUCGGCGGGCCUGCCUGCCAAUGGGGACGCUUUUGAACUCUUGCAGUAACCUGGAACAAAAUUGUCUGAAUAAAAAAUCAAAAUCAAAACUUUCAGCAAUGGAUCU